rnacentral:lncRNA from 1 species
UUGGUUUCAGAAUUUGUGAGGAGAUCAUCCCAAAGUAACUGCCACAAAGGAUAACGAAUGAGAACAAACACAAUUCAUUAUUUCAAUGCUGAGGAGAAUGAUUUCUGACAAUGGAAAGCAGCUCAACAAGUCCUGAGACAUUUACAACCUAACGAUGAAAGUCAAUAUAUAUUGGGGCAUGGUAAUCAUGAUGCAUAGUUAUUUCACAAGCUUGAAUGAUUUUCAAACUGACUUUUCCUGUUUCAAACCAUUUACCUCUUGCAAUAUUGGUUUCAUUGCAAGUUAUUUAUAAUGUUAAUGACAACUCUAAAUUUGGAGCUUCAGAGCCCUAGACAAGGCAUCAAGAGACCUGUUUUUUAUGAUCCAAUUUUUUGGAUGUCAUAUCUCAUAUCUCAUAUCUUGUGCAUUAAAAUGAACAGUUAUGAUCCAGGUGUAACUCUUAAGCUGGCCAAGUUACACAUACCAAUGAAGGUUUUUAUGUGGCUGGCGGAGAGCAGUGUGUGGACGGGGUAUUUGUAAAAGACUCUUCGAUUUUAAGUUAGUGGAAGAACCAACAGAAUGAGACUAAGGUGAACAGUGAUAUGCUGUUGUUACUUUCUUUGUAUUUGCUGUCCAUCAUUAACCAAGACCUGGAUGCAGAUAUUACUUUUCCCAGAGGUAUUUCUCCUGGUAAAUUCUCCAGUUUAUCUUGAACAACUCUUUCAUUCCUUGUACAUAUAUUACCAAAAUUGUAAUAUUUAACUAGUGCUCCUUUAUGUUGUUUGGUUAUUUCCUUUGACCUCACAAUGUCAUUGCAUUUGUAGCUGAAAAUAUUAUUCUUCCAGAUGUGCAUUUGUAAAUGACUUUUAUACUUAGGUAACAGUUUUCUCCACAAAUUAGAAUUGUGUGCACUGUUUUAUGCCUCUCACCUCAAAUUAUUAAAGAAUCCCCUAUCUUGGUCUGAUGUCCAUCCCUACAUUGAUUUUAGAGACACAUGUUCCCAGUUUUGAGAGAAGUUUCAGUUGAAAUUCCAAACUCUUAAUCUUGUCUUAAUCUAUGACUGUUUUAGUAGCUUUUGCAUUAUAAUGUUUUACCACUUUGAAAUACAGAAGGAUAUCACUUGCAUUUACCAUAUUCUGCUGAUGAUCUUUUUCAUUGAGGCUCUAAAUUGGAUGAGCUUAUAACCUCUAGUUUUUGUUUUCUGAAUUAGGUAUCAUCUGUUUAUGAUCAAUCUAGAAUGCAAGAAAUUUGAGGAAAUUCUAAUGAGCUGAUUUGUAACUGUGAGGAGCUGAUCUGUUCAAUUUGCAAAGGUUACUGAUUCAGAGAAUUCUCAGUGACUGAUCUGCUAUGCUCCAGAUUCAUGAGGCCCAUUCCAGAGCUAGUUGGAUAAGUUGGUAUCAAUAGAAGAAAACCUCUAAGAUGGAAUAUUAUGUUGUAGGUGGUAGGUGAAAUAAUAAAGUAUUAUGUCCAAUUUUGAGAAAAAGGUGAAAGUUACCUUGUUAGAGUUUUUCUAUGAAAUGUAUCAAACUUGCACCAGGCUAUUCAAUCUGAUUCUUUAUUGUGCCCAACUCAAACUCUGUUUAGUUGAUGCAGAGUUAAGGACCAAUUACUCUUUUCAGUAUUUUUAAGAAAAAUCAGAGAGAAUCAAACACUAACUAUACAAACGAGAAAAAUAAGAGAGAAACAAACACUAACAAUUACUCUUUUGGACAAAUAAGUUUAACCCCUGCUCCUCAAUUCACUAUACCAAAUACUUCACAAAUCACUCCUCUCAAGGUUAAUCUUGCUGACAAAUAUCGCUAUGUAAGGUUCUCAUGCACAUGCCUCCACAACAACAUAGUACUCGAUCACCCCCUGCAGUUGUGUAACUUUUGUUCUCUUCUUUUACUCUCCGAAAGCAAUAGAUAAGAAAAUGAAGACAAAAUUGUGGUUGAUAGAAAUUUUUAAGAAAAUAUUCCUUGAAAGGCAAACUAGUACUUGUCAGUAUUCAUAAAACACAUUUGCAAUUCGGCCAUUCCCAUGAAAACAAAGAAUCCAAUGCUACAAUUUUCUCACUCACUCAGUAAUGAUGCUACAAAAUAAUGGAGGAGAUGUAGAAGAAGCAAAGACAGAAUCUGUAAAGGUAGUGGAUGCUUUAGGUACCUAGACAUGAGACCUUCACGUAAUCACAUGAUUAGGUCAAUAAAUCACCAAAGGAUGUGCCAAUUGUUUUAACCUUAGUGAGAAUCUUAGGAUCGACCACUAUACUAUUAUUACCACCCUCUAGGUACUUUUCCCUAAUAUCAAUACACACAUUUAGAAAAACAAGACCCUAUGUACUUGUCUUCUUUUAUUUCCCAACUUUGUGUUUGCAUUGGUGGCCAAUUAAGUCUGCUACUUGAACCAUUAUAGCAUAGAAUUAUGAUGCACAUCGUCCUCAUCAACCUUCCUUCUAAUUACUAUUAGCCAAAACACACUGCACUAUCAAUGGCCUUAGAAGAACUACUACCACCAUAAAAAGAUAUUAGUUGAUACCUCUUUUUUUUAAGCAAGUGAUCAAAAUCAUAUUCCAAGUAGGAAUAAGAGGCCCGGUACGUUCAUGUGAUCUUUGGAGAGAAACACAAUCAUUCAUGCAAAAUGCAUGUAAGGCGAAAACUGAUGGCUCGUGUAUGUUUCUACUAAAACAUGAUAAUCUAGUCACCAUUUCUGACAAUGGAAAGCAGCUCAACAAGUCCUGAGACAUUUACAACCUAACGAUGAAAGUCAAUAUAUAUUGGGGCAUGGUAAUCAUGAUGCAUAGUUAUUUCACAAGCUUGAAUGAUUUUCAAACUGACUUUUCCUGUUUCAAACCAUUUACCUCUUGCAAUAUUGGUUUCAUUGCAAGUUAUUUAUAAUGUUAAUGACAACUCUAAAUUUGGAGCUUCAGAGCCCUAGACAAGGCAUCAAGAGACCUGUUUUUUAUGAUCCAAUUUUUUGGAUGUCAUAUCUCAUAUCUCAUAUCUUGUGCAUUAAAAUGAACAGUUAUGAUCCAGGUGUAACUCUUAAGCUGGCCAAGUUACACAUACCAAUGAAGGUUUUUAUGUGGCUGGCGGAG